rnacentral:rRNA from 1 species
GACGAACGCUGGCGGUGUGCUUAACACAUGCAAGUCAAGGAGAACUUUAUCUUCGGAUAAAUAUUAAACUGGCGAACGGGUGAGUAACGCGUAAAUAACUUGCCUCAGAGAUUGGGAUAACAUUGGGAAACCAUUGCUAAUACCAAAUAAUGCAGCGGGCCCUUCGGGGCAUUUGUUGUUAAAGUAGGCUUCGGCUUACACUUUGAGAUAGGUUUGCGUCCGAUUAGUUUGUUGGUAGGGUAAUUGCCUACCAAGGCGAAGAUCGGUAGCUGGUCUGAGAGGAUGAUCAGCCACACUGGAAUUGAGAUACGGUCCAGACUCCUACGGGAGGCAGCAGUGAGGAAUUUUGCACAAUGGGCGAAAGCCUGAUGCAGCAACACCGCGUGAUUGAUGAAGUUUUUAGGAAUGUAAAAAUCUGUCGUAAGGGAAGAAAUGUUU